AAUAAUGCAAGCCACCAAGCCUUAUCUUCGUCUCUGAAUUGUUGCCUUCCCUUCGAUCGAGUUUUCCAUUUUUUUUUUUAUUUUUUUGUCACAUAUAGGUAUAGGCGAAUAAAAGAUAACGAUUUUCGAAGCUGUGCUAAUAGUGGUCAAAAAUAAGGUAAGAAGAAGUUUUAAUAAAAAAUACGGGGAAGUAUUCCAUUUUCCAAUGUUCGACCAAUCACUCGUCCAGGGCCUUCCUCGCGGUCAGGCAACUCUUUCCUCGUCGGCAAUCCCAAUCACUUGCUAUUAUAUUAUAUAUCAACAAAAC
rnacentral:lncRNA from 1 species